rnacentral:rRNA from 1 species
AUUGAACGCUGGCGGCAGGCCUAACACAUGCAAGUCGAACGAGUGGCGGACGGGUGAGUAAUGUCUGGGAAACUGCCCGAUGGAGGGGGAUAACUACUGGAAACGGUAGCUAAUACCGCAUACCAUCGGAUGUGCCCAGAUGGGAUUAGCUAGUGGGUGGGGUAACGGCUAACCUAGGCGACGAUCCCUAGCUGGUCUGAGAGGAUGACCGGCCACACUGGAACUGAGACACGGUCCAGACUCCUACGGGAGGCAGCAGUGGGGAAUAUUGGACAAUGGGCGCAAGCCUGAUGCAGCCAUGCCGCGGGGAUGAAGAAGGCCUUCGGGUUGUAAAGUACUUUCAGCGAGGAGGCGUUACUCGCAGAAGAAGCAUCGGCUAACUCCGUGCCAGCAGCCGCGGUAAUUC